rnacentral:rRNA from 1 species
GACAGAGGGUGCAAACGUUGUUCGGAAUUACUGGGCGUAAAGCGUGUGUAGGCGGCCAUGUAAGUUGGAUGUGAAAGCCCCGGGCUCAACCCGGGAAGUGCAUUCAAAACUGCGUGGCUUGAGUACUGGAGAGGUUGGUAGAAUUCUCGGUGUAGAGGUGAAAUUCGUAGAUAUCGAGAGGAAUACCGGUGGCGAAGGCGGCCAACUGGACAGAUACUGACGCUGAGACACGAAAGCGUGGGGAG